AGAGUUUGAUCAUGGCUCAGAACGAACGCUGGCGGCGUGCUUAACACAUGCAAGUCGAGUGCGCGCCUGUAGCAAUACAGGUGCGCACGGCGCACGGGUGCGUAACACGUGGGUANNCUGCCCUUUGGUGGGGAAUAACUCCGCGAAAGCGAAGCUAAUUCCGCAUAAGAUCCGCAAGGAUGAAAGCCGAAAGGCGCCGAUGGAGGGNNCCGCGCACGAUUAGCUAGUUGGUAGGGUAAUGGCCUACCAAGGCUUUGAUCGUUAGCUGGUCUGAGAGGGAUGGCCAGCCACACUGGAACUGAGACACGGUCCAGACUCCUACGGGAGGCAGCAGUGGGGAAUCUUGCACAAUGGGCGAAAGCCUGAUGCAGCGACGCCGCGUGGGGGAUGAAGCUUCUCGGAGUGUAAACCCCUUUCGAUCCGGACGAAUGCCCGCAAGGGAUUGACGGUACGGAUAUAAGAAGCCCCGGCUAACUACGUGCCAGCAGCCGCGGUAAUACGUAGGGGGCCAGCGUUGUUCGGAAUUACUGGGUGUAAAGGGUUCGUAGGCGGUGCGGCAAGUUGGGAGUGAAAUCUCUGGGCUCAACCCAGAGGCUGCUUCCAAACUGCCGUGCUUGAGUGUGGGAGAGGCUCGUGGAAUUGCAGGUGUAGCGGUGAAAUGCGUAGAUAUCUGCAGGAACACCCGUGGCGAAAGCGGCGAGCUGGACCACUACUGACGCUGAAGAACGAAAGCUAGGGGAGCAAACAGGAUUAGAUACCCUAGUAGUCC
rnacentral:rRNA from 1 species